rnacentral:rRNA from 1 species
UACGUAGGGUGCAAGCGUUUAAUCGGAAUUACUGGGCGUAAAGCGUGCGCAGGCGGCUUUGCAAGACAGAUGUGAAAUCCCCGGGCUUAACCUGGGAACUGCAUUUGUGACUGCAUGGCUGGAGUGCGGCAGAGGGGGAUGGAAUUCCGCGUGUAGCAGUGAAAUGCGUAGAUAUGCGGAGGACACCGAUGGCGAAGGCAAUCCCCCUGGGCCUGCACUGACGCUCAUGCACGAAAGCGUGGGGAGCAAACAGG